UAGAGACAGAGUUUCACCAUGUUGCCCAGGCUGGUCUGGAACUCCUGGGCUCAAGCAAUCCCCUCACCUCAGCCUGCCAAAGUGCUGGGAUUAUAGGCAUGAGCCACUACAUCCGGCCACAUCUUUCAUUGUUAGAAUCAUCUAUGAUGUGUCUGCAUUUUUAAGAUCACACUGUAUUUUAAAACCUAGUUUGCACAUUUGUGAUUCUAGAGAGAGACGACGACGAAGAAGCAGGAGUGGCACAAGAUCUCCUAAAAAGCCUCGGUCUCCUAAAAGAAAAUUGUCUCGCUCACCAUCCCCUAGGAGACAUAAAAAGGAGAAGAAGAAAGAUAAAGACAAAGAAAGAAGUAGGGAUGAAAGAGAACGAUCAACAAGCAAGAAGAAGAAGAGUAAAGAUAAGGAAAAGGACCGGGAAAGAAAAUCAGAGAGUGAUAAAGAUGUAAAACAGGUUACACGGGAUUAUGAUGAAGAGGAACAGGGGUAUGACAGUGAGAAAGAGAAAAAAGAAGAGAAGAAACCAAUAGAAACAGGUUCCCCUAAAACAAAGGAAUGUUCUGUGGAAAAGGGAACUGGUGAUUCACUAAGAGAAUCCAAAGUGAAUGGGGAUGAUCAUCAUGAAGAAGACAUGGAUAUGAGUGACUGAAUAUUGCCUCUGAGGGAAUCCAACUGUAUACCUGCAUCAGUGUCAUUCCUUUGUGUGAUUUCUUAAUGCUGUAUUUGUUCAUCUCAAACCUAGAUGUAUACAGCUCUGAGUUAUAAAUGGUUAUAAAGCUCCUGUUACUGA
rnacentral:sRNA from 1 species